rnacentral:rRNA from 1 species
AUUGAACGCUGGCGGCAGGCCUGACACAUGCAAGUCGAGCGGAUGAAGGGAGCUUGCUCCUGGAUUCAGCGGCGGACGGGUGAGUAAUGCCUAGGAAUCUGCCUGGUAGUGGGGGAUAACGUCCGGAAACGGGCGCUAAUACCGCAUACGUCCUGAGGGAGAAAGUGGGGGAUCUUCGGACCUCACGCUAUCAGAUGAGCCUAGGUCGGAUUAGCUAGUUGGUGGGGUAAAGGCCUACCAAGGCGACGAUCCGUAACUGGUCUGAGAGGAUGAUCAGUCACACUGGAACUGAGACACGGUCCAGACUCCUACGGGAGGCAGCAGUGGGGAAUAUUGGACAAUGGGCGAAAGCCUGAUCCAGCCAUGCCGCGUGUGUGAAGAAGGUCUUCGGAUUGUAAAGCACCUUAAGUUGGGAGGAAGGGCAGUAAGUUAAUACCUUGCUGUUUUGACGUUACCAACAGAAUAAGCACCGGCUAACUUCGUG